AAAUAUAUAAAAAAAAAUUAUAAUAUAAAAAAUAUACAAAAAAAUAAUAAAAUAAAACAAAAAUAAAAAAAACAUUAUAGCACACACUCUGCAGGGGGGGGGUGUUAAGGGGUGCAUUCACAUAUCUACACACUUUCAUUCGCACACAUGUUAGUAUAAUAACCUUUUUUUUUUUUUUUAAUCUUUUUUGUUCUUCCUUUUCCUUUAGGUCAGUUUCAGCAUUACGGAGAUGGGUGUAUCUGUAGUCCAUUUGGCCUGUCCCACAGCUUCCUUCAGUGAUGGGUUGCGAGUGGCUCUGUUGAUGAACUUCUGGCCGAUGAUUGUCUGUCUCUUGUUGAUUGAUGUGAUUCCAGAUAUGCUGUUAACGUAGUGAUUGCUGAUGGAUCUUGGUAGUCUGUAAGCCAUUUUUACUGCCAUGUUUUGGAUUGUCUGUAGCCGAUUCAUCUGCUGUGGUGAGGCUGUUAUCCAGGCUGGUAAGGCGUAUUCAAAGAGAGAUCGGAUGUAGCUGAUGUAGACUUUCAGCACUGUCUGAGGCGAGGCUCCAUAUUUUUUUCCACAUAUGUUUUUUAGGUGGUUUAGUCUUUUUCGUCCCUCUCUCUCUAUGUUCGCUAUAUGGGUUGUCCAGUGCAUGUUCUUCUGGAAGGUGACUCCAAGGAAUUUUGCUUCUUUUUCUACUUUUAUUGUUUCACCGUAGAGUUGGAGAUCUAUGGGUUUCUUGCUUUUUUUGCUGGUGCUUCUUGUGAAGAGGACACAUUGGGUCUUUUGUGGGUUCAAUUUUACGCGCCACAUGUUAGACCACGUCUCGAUCAUCUCAAUAGACUUCUGGAGUUUUUUUCCAGCAAGUUGGGGGCAUUUGGAGCUGGACCAGUAGCAGAGGUCAUCGGCAAACUGUGAGACUUGGCCUACGGUGGGUGGAGGGUAAUAAAUAUCUGAUAUGUAGAGUAGGAAAAGUAGUGGGCUUAGAACUGCCCCCUGUGGGACACCUGCUUCGGGUGUAAAAGGUGAGGAUAUAGCUG
rnacentral:lncRNA from 1 species